rnacentral:rRNA from 1 species
UACGGAGGGGGCAAGCGUUAUUCGGAAUUAUUGGGCGUAAAGGGCGCGUAGGCGGCCCAGUAAGUCAGGGGUGAAAUCCCUCGGCUCAACCGAGGAAUGGCCUCUGAAACUGCAGGGCUUGAGACCGGGAGAGGGUAGUGGAAUUCCCAGUGUAGCGGUGAAAUGCGUAGAUAUUGGGAGGAACACCAGUGGCGAAGGCGACUACCUGGACCGGAUCUGACGCUGAGGCGCGAAAGUGUGGGGAGCAAAC